rnacentral:misc_RNA from 1 species
UCGAGUUGCAAAACUCCCUAAACCCUUGUGAAUCUUACCUAUAUCGUUUCUUCGGCGGGCGGCUUCAGCCCUAACCUGCUCUCCUCGGGGGGGCGGACCCGCCGGAGGCUUCUAAACUCUUGAUUUUUGUUGGCCUCUCUGAGUAAACUUUUAAAUAAGUUA